rnacentral:misc_RNA from 1 species
ACCCAACUGAAAGCGAGAUAUGUAAGGUGAAAGAGAUGAUAAUCUGUAAACAAGAAUUUAAAAAGAAAGAGAGAAAGAUACCCAUCUUCUCUUUUUCUCCAACUAAUCUUCUAAUCCUAUCAUGAAAAUAUCAAGCAUGAAUAAUGAACAAACAAAAAAAAUUACAAGUUAAAUGGCUGAGCUAUCCUAACUCACUUUUCCCUCCUUGUUGACCAAAUUUGGGUUGGAAGAUAUAAAAUCGAUCUUCCAACCCAAGUAGUGCCAAAUAUAAACAAGAGUACAUCAUCGGAUGCUCUCUGCGCCCGAGACAUAGUCACCUGACAAUUAGUACUCAGGUAGAAUCCAAAGCCAAUAUUGGCUUCCACCUUAUACUAAUACAUGAAAUGAAUAUGAUUUCUUCUCCUAAUGCUAACAACUACUUAGACUUCCUAGUGUCUUAAUUAACCAAACAUGUAUAAUGAUGAAGUUGACAAUGUUGGGGUUUGAAUGGAUAUUUUAAUUGAAGACAGUUAGUGGAGUGAGCUUUGCAUCUAAAAAUGCCAGUUUCCACGAAUGAACAAAUCUGAUGCCGAAUUCUUGGAUUUCCUCUGUUUUGUUAUGCUAGCUGAUCAGGCAUCCUUCUCUUGAACUUGAACCAGUGACUUAAGAAUGUUUUGGGUGAUUCAUUUCCUUCGUACUGCUCUUUGACCCUUUUCACCACAUGCUAUAUUGUUAGCUUGUGAAAAGAAAAACGAAUUUUCCAAGCUUAUUAGGUUGAUGAAUUUUGCUCAGAAGCCGUUCCAGAGGCUUGCAAAGCACCUGGUCCCGCUCCCACCACCCCUACCGGUGUUGUCGUGGAGAUUGUUGUUGUCGCAAUCAUAGGAAUUGUCAUUGUUGUUGCACCUGUGGCAGCAGUCGCCAUUGCCAUGGAAGAAGGAAGUGAUAAAAUUCCUGUAGAGCCAUAUUGCUGAGGUAAAUAUGGGUACUGUACCAUUUGGGGAUAUUGAACUCCAAAGCCAUGAUCUUGGCUACUCUGUCCAUACUGUGUAUAAAGUGGAUAGAAGUUAUGGAACAUCCCUGGCGUUCCUGAUACACCAGUAGAGUAAUAAGGGGAAAAUUGUUGACCUCCGUAUACCCCAUAGUAAUUCAAAGGGUAUAUGGCGUCUUGUGAAUAUCCAGUGUACCCAUAAGUUGAAUAAGGAAAUGUGUAUUGCCCAGUGGGUUGAUGGAUAUAUGAUGAUGAAGAACCAUGAUAAGCAGGUGGAGCCACCAAUCCAGGUGCUGGUCUAAACCGUCCUGCUCCUGCAAAAUAUAUUUAAAUGUUUGUCUCAUCGUGCAUUGUUUAGAUCCCACAUUUCAGUUUAGAAGCAGAUGAAUCUGGAGUUUGUUAUGAACUUUGUGCUGCAGUUGUGAAAGGGGUGAACAUGAUAGAGGGUUCAGAAAUUGACAUCUUGGAAUGAAAAAGAGAGGAGCUUUUUGAGAUUUUGAGAAAAUCACUUGAAAAACCUUAGCCCAUUAGCAUUCAAUUGCUCAACGUUGGAAAAUGUUCAAUUGAAUCAUUAAAAUGCACAUUGAGAGUAGUAUAUUGCACCAAUAAUUUAGCAAGAAAAAUGAAAGAGAUCAGAGAGUAAGAGAGAGAUAUAGACCAUGUUGAGGAUUUGGUGGACGAGUCUUGUGUGCACCAAGUGAUGCAAGAUUGCAGUUUGUCCUUCUUCCAUCAAUCACAGGAGAUGGGUUUUGACAAGCUCUCAUGGCUGCGUCAGGAUCCUUAAAUGUAACAAAGCCAUAGCCCUUGGAUCUCCCAGUGUUCUUAUCCGUGAUAACAACAGCCUCCAGGAUCUCCCCAAACUGCUCAAAAUAACUCCUCAUGGUAUCCCUUUGGGUUUCCCAGGCCAAGCCUCCAACAAAGAUUUUAGUAAAAGUUGUGUCAUUGUACUGGCCUGUAUUGCUGCUGCCACCCACCAUCUGAAAUUGCCUUUGUUGAGACAUGAUACACAAUAUAACACCAAAAGAAAGGAUACAAAAAAAGAGAGCAACUAAAACAAGAAAAAAGAGAGAGGAAAAAGAAGAAACCGCCCAGAACAAAAAUUAAGGAACCUUCACCCCCUCUUCCCCUCAAGAAAACAAAUAUAGAGAGGAAAAAGAUGGUAGAUAAAUCCAGAAAGAGGCGUUUGUUUUUGAUGAUCACAUCAAUCAAUCCAAGCACUUCUUUUUAUCUCGGACACUCGUGUGCGUUUGUUUCUCUUUUUCUUGUUGUUCUGGUUGUUGUUUUUCUAAUGUUAUAACUGCCGCUUUUUUACACCCACAACACUUCAGAUUCCUCAACAACGAUACCCGUAACGAGAAAAUCAUUACUGUUAGAGAACUCCCUUGUGGAUAUAAGAAGAGAAAAGGGGGUUAAAAGGAAAAAGAAAACCCCAAAAGAAAUAUUUAUAUGUACAAGAAUAAUAGGGGUGGAUGAUAAUAGAAGAAGAAA